rnacentral:lncRNA from 1 species
GAAACAGGUUGUGGGGAGCUAAAGUGUAUUGGUGUCAGAGGUAAGGGAAGAGCGCCCAUAAGAAGCAACUAAAGGUGGAGAAUAACUAACCGACAAAGCUCUGGAGCUCAGUGAUCCUGUGUACAUAGUAGAUGAUGUCAAGCCCUUGCAGUUUCCUUAAGGUGAGGCAGUGAUGGGGAGCAAAGAGGACCAGCCACAGCACCGCAGGCGACUCUUCCCAGCUCUCACCCAUCUCUCUUGCAGAAAAGUAUCCGAAGACUUGCUAACUCAGAGGAUCUGUGCCAUUUCUUCUGGGCACAUGGAGCUCCCUGAGGGGUCCCUGAGAGGGCAGGGUCCUUGGGGCCUGAAUGACAUCACCGGGGAAUGAAUAGGAAGGGAAUCUGGAUCAUCUGGAACUGAGUUCUGAAUAAGACUCACUGGACCAAUGAGGGCAGCAGGGCUCCCAGGAGCCCCAUCUCAGUAACACUGGGAAAGCUCAGCCAUGGCGGCCUGAUCGUGCAGUCUUUUGAACGAAUCCUGUAGAUUACUGUUCCCCGCCCUGGAGCAUGAGCUUCUUCUGAAGUAGAUAUGUGUGAGGAGAAAUGAAUGCCGCAGUCAUGGAAAAUGUUACUUAUAUUUGAGAUAUUUUCUCCCUUAAUCCUUUCCUCAGUAAAUGAUGCUAAAUUGACUGCUUAAAAAGCAAAUACAUUUUGUGUGCUAUUGUCUGCUAAAGUAAAGUU